CAUAUCAAUAAGCGGAGGAAAAGAAACCAACAGGGAUUGCCCCAGUAACGGCGAGUGAAGCGGCAACAGCUCAAAUUUGAAAUCUGGCCCCAGGCCCGAGUUGUAAUUUGCAGAGGAUGCUUUGGGCGCGGCGCCUUCCGAGUUCCCUGGAACGGGACGCCGGAGAGGGUGAGAGCCCCGUACGGUCGGACGCCUAGCCUAUGUAAAGCUCCUUCGACGAGUCGAGUAGUUUGGGAAUGCUGCUCAAAAUGGGAGGUAUAUUUCUUCUAAAGCUAAAUACCGGCCAGAGACCGAUAGCGCACAAGUAGAGUGAUCGAAAGAUGAAAAGCACUUUGAAAAGAGGGUUAAACAGCACGUGAAAUUGUUAAAGGGGAAGCGCUUGUGACCAGACUUGCGUCCGGCGGAUCAUCCAGCCUUCUGGCUGGUGCACUCCGCCGGCUCAGGCCAGCAUCAGCUCGGCGUCGGGGACAAAAGCCUCGGGAACGUGGCUCCCUCCGGGGAGUGUUAUAGCCCGUUGCACAAUACCCUUCGCCGGGCUGAGGUUCGCGCUCCGCAAGGAUGCUGGCGUAAUGGUCAUCAGCGACCCGUCUUGAAACACGGACCAAGGAGUCAACCUUAUGCGCGAGUGUUUGGGUGUCAAACCCCUACGCGUAAUGAAAGUGAACGCAGGUGAGAGCUUCGGCGCAUCAUCGACCGAUCCUGAUGUUCUCGGAUGGAUUUGAGUAAGAGCGUAUAGGGUUGGACCCGAAAGAAGGUGAACUAUGCGUGUAUAGGGUGAAGCCAGAGGAAACUCUGGUGGAGGCUCGCAGCGGUUCUGACGUGCAAAUCGAUCGUCAAAUAUGCGCAUGGGGGCGAAAGACUAAUCGAACCUUCUAGUAGCUGGUUUCC
rnacentral:rRNA from 1 species